rnacentral:rRNA from 1 species
CACGUAGGGUGCGAGCGUUGUCCGGAAUUAUUGGGCGUAAAGAGCUCGUAGGCGGUGUGUCGCGUCGGCCGUGAAAACCUGCAGCUUAACUGUGGGCUUGCGGUCGAUACGGGCAUCACUGGAGUUCGGCAGGGGAGACUGGAAUUCCUGGUGUAGCGGUGAAAUGCGCAGAUAUCGGGAAGAACACCCGUGGCGAAGGCGGCUCUCUGGGACGGUACUGACGCUGAGACGGCGAAAGCGUGGGGAGCGAACAGG